UGCUUGCUUUCAUAUUCAAUAUACUAAAAUUAGAAUGAUACAGAGAAGACAAACAUGGACCCAGUGCAAGAAGGGCAUGCAAAAUUGUAAAUCAUUCCAUAUUAUA